UACGAAGGGGGCUAGCGUUGCUCAGAAUCACUGGGCGUAAAGCGCACGUAGGCGGACUCUUAAGUCAGGGGUGAAAUCCUGGAGCUCAACUCCAGAACUGCCUUUGAUACUGGGAGUCUUGAGUUCGGGAGAGGUGAGUGGAACUGCGAGUGUAGAGGUGAAAUUCGUAGAUAUUCGCAAGAACACCGGUGGCGAAGGCGGCCUUCUGGACAAUGACUGACGCUGAGACGCGAAAGCGUGGGGAGCAAACAGG
rnacentral:rRNA from 1 species